rnacentral:lncRNA from 1 species
UUGGUGUCGUCGUCCCAUAAUGUCCCGCAUGCUAUUAUCCAGUGCCUCAACAGCUUGCCGCUUUGUCAUGCUGGCCUCGUCCCAUAGGAUAAGGGAAGCCAUGCGCAGGAGCUUGGCCGUCCCACUUUGCUUGGUGAAGCUGCACGACGCCCCAUCUUCAAUGCUGAGUGGGAUCUUGAACCUCGAGUGGGCUGUCCUGCCUCCAGGCAUGAUGGAAGCGGCGAUGCCCGACGUCGCCGUAGCCACCGCUAUCUUGCCCUCCCCCCGAAC